rnacentral:rRNA from 1 species
UACGGGGGGGUAAGCGUUGUUCGGAAUUACUGGGCGUAAAGGGCUCGUAGGCGGCCAACUAAGUCAGACGUGAAAUCCCUCAGCUUAACUGGGGAACUGCGUCUGAUACUGGAUGGCUUGGAUUCGGGAGAGAAAUGCGGAAUUCCAGGUGUAGCGGUGAAAUGCGUAGAUAUCAGGAGGAACACCGGUGGCGAAGGCGGGUCUCUGGGCCGUAACUGACGCUGAGGAGCGAAAGCAUGGGGAGCGAACAGG